rnacentral:rRNA from 1 species
CAGUCGCCACGGGAAUACAGAGGGUGCGAGCGUUAAUCGGAUUUACUGGGCGUAAAGCGUGCGUAGGCGGCUUCUUAAGUCGGAUGUGAAAUCCCUGAGCUUAACUUAGGAAUUGCAUUCGAUACUGGGAAGCUAGAGUAUGGGAGAGGAUGGUAGAAUUCCAGGUGUAGCGGUGAAAUGCGUAGAGAUCUGGAGGAAUACCGAUGGCGAAGGCAGCCAUCUGGCCUAAUACUGACGCUGAGGUACGAAAGCGUGGGGAGCAAACAGGAUUAGAUACCCCUGUAGUCCCUGUCUCUUAUAC